rnacentral:rRNA from 1 species
AUUGAACGCUGGCGGCAGGCCUAACACAUGCAAGUCGAGCGGAUGAAGGGUGCUUGCUCCUGGAUUCAGCGGCGGACGGGUGAGUAAUGCCUAGGAAUCUGCCUGGUAGUGGGGGAUAACGUCUGGAAACGGGCGCUAAUACCGCAUACGUCCUGAGGCUGCAACUGGGGGAUCUUCGGACCUUACGCUAUCAGAUGAGCCUAGGCCGGACUGGUUAGUUGGUGGGGUAAAGGCCUACUAAGGCGACGAUCCGUAACUGGCCUGCGUGGAUGAUCGGUCACACUAGAGCUGGGACAGGGUCCAGACGCCUACGGGAGGCAGCAGUGGGGAAUGUUAGGCAGCGGGCGAAAACCUGAUCCAGCCGUGCCACGUGUGUGAAAGAGGUCUUCGGAUUGUAAAGCACUUUAAGUGGGGGGGAAGGGCAGUAAGUUAAUACCUUGCGGGUUUGACGGUACCAACAGAAUAAGCACCGGCUAACUUCGUG